AAACGUAACUGGUGGUAUUUUCUUAGUUUUCCUCUCACCGUGUUCUCACCUCCACGUGGCAACAUAGAUUUUUAAUGAAGAUGUCAAUGUGAGGCGAGAUUGUGUGAUGAGCUGUCUGAGCAUCUACCUCAAUGAAGACCUGGAACCACUUGGUAAAGAAUAUGUGGUAUGUAUCAGAAUAGUGUGCCAGUAAUUUUUCCAUCUAGAUAAUAUGGAUUGUUCAUGAGAAUGGAAUGGACAUUAGGACACAUUGACCACCAGUAUUUCAACAUUGAGUCCAUUGGGUUGUUUUGAAUAAAAAAAAUCAUGCAAGGUAAAUGGUGGUAGAGCUGUCACUCUGAGGGAAUUAAAUCUGCUUGGUCCAGAGGAACCUGAAGAUGAAGUUGUCUGGGUUCUGGCACCCACAUGCCCCUUCUCCGCCAGAAACAACAAUCCUCGCCUAAACAACAAGGUGAUGACACAGACAUUUCCUAGUGCUCAUGAAACUGAAAUGAUUUUACUGCAUUGAUAUGAUUUUGGAAAUGUUUAUUAAGAAGUGCCUUGUAUCAUCAGGAUGCAUGUUCUGGACUGUCUGCUUACGAACUCAAGCGCCUUGAGAACAUCACGCACAAGGAAGCCUUCUUGUCGUCUCUGAAGAUAUGGCAAGUAUGUGGACAUUUUAGUAAAGGUAAAGGACUAAUAAGCUGUUUUCCAUUUCAUUUGCCCUCUCCCUACCUCAGUUUCCACCCUACUCUCCUCUUAGUCUCUUUUUCUCUCCCUCCUGCUCUUUCACUGUUGUCCCCCACUGUACGGUCCUUCUCUCCUUCUCCUUUCUUUCUUUUGUAUUCACUUGUUAUCUUACAGGUGUAACAUAGAUUUUAAAAAUAUAUAAAAUUAGAUUUUGGUGGGUUCUUGUAUUUUUUUUAACAAUGUAGUUUACAAAAUAUUGUAAUUUCUGUCUUCAUCCAUUAGCACACCUUUUAGUAUAAUUAUGGUUGCUGUUUAUACAGAAAAACAAGGAGAUAAUUAUUCUUCUUUGUCUCGCCCGCUCUCUCUCUCUCUCUCUCUCUCUCUCUCUCAAAAGGUAGUGGAAGAUCUGAGGCAGUCAGUGAAGCCAAAGCCCAAUGUCAAAAGGUUAAUGGCUUCAUUGGAAGAAAAAUCUCUGCAGUCUCCCCGGAAAUCCCUCCGUUCUAAAAUAGAAAACCUCACCCCAAGUGAAGGGUUGACCCAUAAUCAAGACAUUGAAUCCAGAGAGGCAGAGGAAGACAUGGCAGAAAAGACCAUGGGCAUCUACAAAGUACAAUCAAAGGAUCAUGGUCAAGGUGAUGGACGCUUCACUGAUGUCCGUGUUGUGCUGGAAGGUGUGGAGGUUCUCCACAACCUGUAGAGUGUCACUCAUGCAUGGGUUAUGUUAUAUGGCCUGAUCUACGCGCUCAAUUUGAACUACCCUAAAAGCCUGAAGUGUACAUUUGAGGUGUACCAGAAAAUCCUGAUGGACCUGGACUCAACCAAGCUUUCCCCGAAAGUACAGACACUGAAACUGAAAUUGCUCCAGUGGCUAAAAAUAACAACUUAUACAGCCCCUACCCAUUUUUUUUCACAUUGUGCUCCAACCCUGAGAUAUGUUAAAAUGAUUUCCUAGUUCUAUAAUGAUAUGUUAAUUAGCAACUGAAAAUGGAUCUCUGAGUACAGUUUUAUUUUUUAUUUAUUUAUUUUUUUGGGUGUCCAAGCAGUCAUGUGAUGUUCGAGUGUGGCUGUGUAAGUGGGUUCAUAUGGAUGGUUUCCUAAAUGUUGGCUGAUGUUAACUUGGCUCAAUCCAGAGUUUUGUAUAAAAGAUAAAUAUAAAUAAAUCUGGAAUUUUCCAGUUGGUCUAAUUCAAUGUGAUGCAUUUUUUGAUUUGGUUUAGUAUAUAAGCAUACAUUAAACAUGAUUCAAAUAAAUGUUAUUUAUAUUUUUUAGUUACCCCGAUUUAGUUCUCUUAAUUAUUAUGCAAUUUAUACAAUAAACUUUGUGUAUUUUAAAUAAAUACACUUUUUAUUAUUAAUUUAGAAUAAUUACACUUUACAUGAACUAAUUACGUAAACCUGAGGAUUAUGCAUUUAAAAUAAAUAGGUUUUAUUAUCCUUAUGAAAAUAAAUAGUAUAAAGUUUAUUUGGUAGAUUUGUGUUAAAAUUAUGAAAAAAAUAUAAAUGGUAAUUUGUCAUGUAAUAAAAUUACAUAAAUCUUAAUUUUUGGAUGAAAUAUUUCUGUGAGUGUGGUAGUAAAAAACAGCUUGAACUCGAAACACUGUAGAGAAAUCAAACUG
rnacentral:lncRNA from 1 species